UGAUGUAAUUUAAUAACAUUUCUUUGUGCAUUUUAUUAAUUAGGAGUUGAGAUAUUAGAAAGUGCUGAAAAUUUAUAUAGUAAAUUAAAAAUUUUAAAUUUCAGGUAUCUAUUUAAAAAUUAGGUAUUUGAAUUUUAGAAGAAUUUGAUAUAAGCUUGGGGAAACGACGAUCCCGCAAGUGAAACUUUAAUUAAAGUGGUUGGGGGUGAAUCAAAAUGUAUUCUCUGUUGGUGGGAAUAUCUUUAAUCUUUAUGAUGGCGAGUUCCUGAGUAGAUAGAGACAACCUAAAUGAGUGAGUGAUCAUCUCCAACUAAAUAUCCAUCAUCUCAAUUUUUGUAUUAUGCUCAGUUUGGUACAA
rnacentral:lncRNA from 1 species